rnacentral:rRNA from 1 species
AACUGAAGAGUUUGAUCCUGGCUCAGCGCGAACGCUGGCGGCAUGGCUAAAACAUGCAAGUCGAACGCGAAAGCCCCUUCGGGGGCAAGUAGAGUGGCGAAAGGGCGAGGAAUGCGUUCCUACGUACCCCCAGGUCAGGGACAGUCCAGGGAAACUUGGCUUAAUACCUGAUGUGGUCUCCGGAUCAAAGGCUUCGGCCGCCCGGGGAGCGGGGAACGUCCUAUCAGGUUGUUGGUGAGGUAACGGCUCACCA